UUUUGACAUUUUAUUCUAUUUUUUCUAUCUAAUUUAAUGUAAAAUGUCUAAAAAUUAAAUAGUGGACUGUUACCUAUAAACUGAAAAGACUCAUAAAUUAUGCCAUUUAACAACUAGAAAGCCCAAAAGUCAUCAUUUGAAAUAUAAGAAGGAAUCGCACUGUUGGCUCAUCCAAUGCAUUAUGUCAAUUUUUGUGAUGCUCUGGAGUUGCACCAUGGUCGACAGCCAAUAACAGGUUUACAUGUCUCUUUGUGCUGUUCUGAAGUUCCACCAUGGUUGACACUUGACAGCCUUAGAAAAAGAUGAUAAGACUUCUUCAAGUGAAGAAUGAAGACAAAAGUUAUAACUAGCUAAAAAAUUGGAAAUGAUGUCAAUAACGGGUGAAUAGGUAAUCUAGAAUACGUUUUUGAUGCCCGUGGAAGACUUUAUGUAUUUGUAAUUUCUUUGGACAAAAACAUUGUUACUUCAAUGUAAUUAAUUCUAUUUAUCCUAUUUUUAAUUAUUGUU